rnacentral:lncRNA from 1 species
GCUGUGAAGCAAAAGAGGACUGCAGUCAAGGAAGACGUCUAAUGGCCCCGCUGAGGUGCUGCCAGACAGUCCAUCUGGCCAACAAAAUAUUUCUCAACUGCCUCCCCUCCCUUUCUCAGAUGUAGUGAUGGCUGUUUCCCAGAAAUCAACAUUUAUCUACUAUAAAUCUUCUGGUGGACCCACGUGAUGUUUGUACCACAUUAUCUUUCUUAUUCUCAUAAUUGCCUGGACUGUAUUCUUCUUAUUUAAUGCAUAUUACAGAAAAAAAAGCAUUCAGCAAUACUUGUUAAAAACUGUAAGGCAAACAAAUAUGUGCCUUGGACCAGCAUGAUAAAUGUAGGAAAAAUGGGAUUUUACAGGUGGGAUAGAUAUUGGGCCCAACCACAAGCACAGCAUGGGCAAGUGGGAAUUCAUAGCCCAAGAGUAGAUUGGAGAUCAAUGCAUGGAAAAUUAAAAAGAGGAACCCUCAGGAGUCAGGGGGAUCCUGGCUAACCUGACCUAACUAGAGAUAGACCAGAGUGAACAGAUAUCACCUGGGAGGUGAAAGAGGAUAGGAAAGACAGUAGAAUGAAUCAGAUAUGGGUGAUGAUCAGAUAGAGGGUUAAGAGGUUCUUGUUAAACUAAUUUAAGACGUUUUUGGCUGAAAGUGGAUUUUGUAAGAAUGUGCACAGGAAAAGGUUCAGCAGCUUGACUAAAGCGUGUCAAGCAAAGUCUGUUCGUCAAUAUGGGAUUUAUUUCUUUAAUUAAAUUCUAAACUAGUUGGAGCUGAAACCCAUAUUUUUCCUUUACGGACUCAGAGUACUCAGCAUAAUUCUAGGAAAAGAGUGGGUGCUUGACAAAUACUAAGUAUAGGACAGUACUUUCCAGGUAAUGUUAUCACAAAGCCAGAAGGUAAAAAUGGGCUUGUUUCCUCCCAAGGUUAUAUCCAAGGUUAUUAUAGUAAGAAGGAAAGGAAGUUGAGAUCCAAACCACACUGAGGAGUGGUAAGGACUAGAUGAAAGAUCUGUGAACACCAGUCAAGCCUGAAGGCCCUUGAGAACAAAUAGCUUGACAAAGAUUGUUAAUAAGAGUGGUUUCUCAUGAACGACAAAAUGUUCUGUAUCAAAAAGUGAAGCAAAUUAAAAAAAAAAAAACAACUUUAGGGAAAAAUAAACCAAUGGAAUCUAACUCGAAAGCCAUUCUAAGAAAAGUAAUUUUAGGACAAUUCUAUGCCUAGCAAACAGAAAGAAUUAGAAUAUUCAUGCUACCAGAUAGAUACCUGAUUCAUCUGAUCUACACCACCUCUGAUAGAUAUAUAGCUGUCUUUGUUUUCCUUAUUUUGAUCCAUGUUGACUCAACCAAAAACUUAAAUCACAAUUAUAAUAGCUAGUACUUUUUAACAUGUGCUCUGUGCCAAAAUCUUAUUUACUUUAUACGUAUUAUAAGGUAUGUAAUCAUUGCACUCAUGUAAUGAUUUAGGUACUAUUGAGGAAACAGUGGCUCAGAAACUUUAAAUAACUUACCCAAGGCUACACAGCUCACAAGCCAGGGUCUGAAGUGAACAGACAACAUUCCUAAAUCACCUUUCAUAACCACUAUGUUAUGAAGAGUCUCCAAUACAAGGAAAGCUUAUUUACUUGGGCCGUUUAAUUCUAUAUGUGUUGAUAUAAAAGUUAAACAAUCCUCUCUCCAAAUCAAUGCAUAUACUAUACUUUGCCCAGACUCAUUAAAACCCCCAACUGACCUUUCUGUUAUCUCCUCCUUCUCUCCUUCAUCUUCCAUGUUUUCACCAGAUGGAGGCAUUUUAUAAUGGCUUACCCGCUUGCUAGUGGUCUGUGGCUAAUUUUGGUUAGCCAUCAGUGGGGUUCCAAUAACAAGAGGUCUGGCAAGUGAAGCAGUAGGGUUGGUUUGGCUUUACUUUUAUUCUCUGAACCCACAACUCAUGAUUUGAAACAGUGCUUAAUCUCUUCUUGCAACUAAACUGAACUUUUCAUCAAUCUUGUCAAGGCUAUACCUAUCCAGGCUGAGGUCAUGUGAUUUUUUCCAUCUCCUAGAACAGACUUGAGAGGCAGCUGGAGGAAACAAUAGGAGAUUUGUAUCCUCUAUCAGGUGGUGGCUGGGCACUAGUUGCUACUUUGUGUAAAUUGUUGCAUGCCAUUGUCACAAUUGUGUUUUGAAGUGAGAAGUAUUGUAAUUGUCUCUGGAGGAAGCAGAAUGAUCCCAAUUUGAGAAAAAUACCCAAGUUCACACUGUUUCAAAGGACAGACAAUACGUGUUUCAGGUUUUCCUGAUUACAAAAUCUGUGCUCUCUGCACAAUGUCAGUCAUAUGGCAAAGGCCAGGAGUUAAUUGAGAGGUAAAGAAUUAUGAGAUUAAAACUGGUUAAGUGAAUCAUUUUUUUAUAGUAGAAACCAUCCUUAUAUAAGGGAUCACUACUAUGUGUUAGACUCUUUGAUGAGCACUUUGCAUGUGUUACAUGAUUUAACCCCUCACAACUCUAUGAAAUAGUUAUUAUUUGUAAUUUACAGAGAAGGAAAAAGAAGCUUAGAAAGAUUAAGAAGGAAUUUACCUGAGAUUGUAUAACAGGUAGUCUUUCUAGAUCCCUCACUCCUGUCCUUCAUCUGCCCUUUAUAGGACUAACACAAUUGAAGUGUUUUCUUUCUUACUUUGUUCCUACUUUGCUCCCUUUUUUUCCAACAUAGAUUGUGAGCGAGUGUGUGUGUGUGUGUGUGUGUGUGUGUAUGUGUGUCUGUGAGCAGUUGUGUGUAAAUAUCAAUGUAUACUUUUAAAAUGUCAGGCACUGUUCUAAACCCUUUGCUUUAACUUAAUUUAAUCUCCACAGCAAUCCUAAGCACUACGAUUACUAUGAUUCCUACCUUGUGGACAGGAAUGGGGCACAUAUGGGUUAAUCACCUGCUCAGUGUCACAGUGUUGAGGACAGGUACAUUCCAGGAACCGUGUGUAUAUGCUCACUGAGCUCAGCUGCCUGUGGCCACCUGAGCUCUUCCUAAUACUCAGAGCCGUCAUGUCCAACCCCCUUUCAAGGACCUCCAAUAAUCUACUACUAUUUAUAAAAUAAAUUCAAAGGUAUGUUUCCUCAUGUUAGAGGCUCUUCACAAUUUGCUUCUCUUAUAACAUUCCAUUUCAUUUAUUGAUUCUAUCUACUCUAGACUAUUUGUCACCCCUAAACUCGCCAGUGACACCCAGCUAUGGAUGAAUUUUAUUGAGGACUGGAAGACUUUUCCUUGUCUUUUAGAAUCCAAAUCAAUGUUCAAGUUCCCUCGAUAGUUCUGCCCACAAAACAUUCCUCAUUUUCUCUGAACAAACAGCCCUCAAUUUUCUUCUACAUUUAUUUAAUAUCUACACAGUAUCACAUCUUUCACUAUGUCUCAUACUGUGAUGUUUCUCCUCUCAUGUCCAAAUGAAACUCAGAUCUCUUGAGGUCAAGGGCUGUAUUUCAUCAACAUUGUCAAAGCACUUGGCAUUUUGUGCAAGUUGUUGAUAAUCAGUGAACAUUGCUGAAUGAAAGAGUGUGUAAGUGAAUAGAAGCAUUGAAGGUAUUCUUAGCUUUAAGAGGAAAACAGUAGAAGUUCUACAUGUUUUUUGAACUAAAUUAACUUUCAGAGGAAAUUAAAUUCACUUAUGAAUUACAUACAAACAAAUGCAUAAUUUCUAUAGUGCAUGUAUGUCUCACACAUGAGUGUGCAGAAUGAAACCCAGAUUCUCAGUGUGAACCUCCAGGUGAUUUUCCUGUGGAAAUGCAACUUCAAGUCCACUGUUUAAAGACAUUCUCUCUAGAUGUCUAAUUCUCUUUCCUUCCUGUUGGCUGGAAAUAGUGAUAAUAGAGCAACUGUAGAAGCCACAUUGGAGGAUGCAGGAGCUCCACCAACACUCAGCCCAGAACCCUAAAUGACUUUUUGGAGCAGCACCUGCCUGCCUACCUGCUCUGAACUAUUAAGCAAAAGAGAAACUCCCAUCUCAUGUAGUCACUAAACUUUAGGGUCUCUUUAUUAAUCAGUACUCCAACCAGUAUAGCCCUCAACACCUUUCUACUAGUAAUAAAUCCUGCAUGUAUUUCUGUCUUAGCUUAAAUAUUUCUCCCUCACAGAGAUCCUUCCUAGCCUCUCAUUCUUAACCAUUUUCCAUAUCGCUUUCUAUGUUAGGAUUCAAUUCUUUUAUAAAUCUCAGAAC